rnacentral:rRNA from 1 species
UACGUAGGGUGCAAGCGUUGUCCGGAAUUAUUGGGCGUAAAGAGCUCGUAGGCGGUUUGUCGCGUCUGCUGUGAAAACUCGGGGCUUAACUCCUGGCCUGCAGUGGGUACGGGCAGACUAGAGUGCGGUAGGGGAGACUGGAAUUCCUGGUGUAGCGGUGAAAUGCGCAGAUAUCAGGAGGAACACCGGUGGCGAAGGCGGGUCUCUGGGCCGUAACUGACGCUGAGGAGCGAAAGCGUGGGGAGCGAACAGG